UACGUAGGGGGGAAGCGUUGUCCGGAAUCAUUGGGCGUAAAGCGCGUGUAGGCGGCUCGAUAAGUCUGUUGUGAAAGUCCAGGGCUCAACCCUGGGAUGCGGAUGGAUACUGUCGAGCUCGAGUCCGGAAGAGGCGAGUGGAAUUCCUGGUGUAGCGGUGAAAUGCGCAGAUAUCAGGAAGAACACCCGUGGCGAAGGCGGCUCUCUGGAACGCAACUGACGCUGAGACGCGAAAGCGUGGGGAGCAAACAGG
rnacentral:rRNA from 1 species